AUGCACGCUGGCGGCGUGCUUAACACAUGCAAGUCGAACGGAAAGGCCCUGCUUGCAGGGUACUCGAGUGGCGAACGGGUGAGUAACACGUGGGUGAUCUGCCCUGUACUUUGGGAUAAGCCUGGGAAACUGGGUCUAAUACCGAAUAUGACAAUUGUUUGGAUGCGAUUGUGGAAAGCUUUUGCGGUAUGGGAUGAGCUCGCGGCCUAUCAGCUUGUUGGUGGGGUAAUGGCCUACCAAGGCGUCGACGGGUAGCCGGCCUGAGAGGGUGUACGGCCACAUUGGGACUGAGAUACGGCCCAGACUCCUACGGGAGGCAGCAGUGGGGAAUAUUGCACAAUGGGCGCAAGCCUGAUGCAGCGACGCCGCGUGGGGGAUGACGGCCUUCGGGUUGUAAACUCCUUUCGCAACCGACGAAGCCUUUUGGUGACGGUAGGUUGAGAAGAAGCACCGGCUAACUACGUG
rnacentral:rRNA from 1 species